rnacentral:rRNA from 1 species
AACGAACGCUGGCGGCAUGCCUAACACAUGCAAGUCGAACGAGACCUUCGGGUCUAGUGGCGCACGGGUGCGUAACGCGUGGGAACCUGCCCUUAGGUUCGGAAUAACUCCCCGAAAGGGGUGCUAAUACCGGAUAAUGUCUUCGGACCAAAGAUUUAUCGCCUUUGGAUGGGCCCGCGUUGGAUUAGCUAGUUGGUAGGGUAAAAGCCUACCAAGGCGACGAUCCAUAGCUGGUCUGAGAGGAUGAUCAGCCACACUGGGACUGAGACACGGCCCAGACCCCAAGGGGGGGGAGCGGGGGGGAAUAUUGGAAAAGGGGCGAAAGCCUGAACCAGCAAUGCCGGGUAGGUGAUAAAGGCUUUAGGGUUUAAAAGCUCUUUUACCCGGAAUGAAAAAGAAAGUACCGGGAAAAAAACCCCCGGCAAACUCCG